AAGCGGCGGACGGGUGAGUAACACGUGGGUAACCUACCCAUAAGACUGGGAUAACUCCGGGAAACCGGGGCUAAUACCGGAUAAUAUUUUGAACUGCAUAGUUCGAAAUUGAAAGGCGGCUUCGGCUGUCACUUAUGGAUGGACCCGCGUCGCAUUAGCUAGUUGGUGAGGUAACGGCUCACCAAGGCGACGAUGCGUAGCCGACCUGAGAGGGUGAUCGGCCACACUGGGACUGAGACACGGCCCAGACUCCUACGGGAGGCAGCAGUAGGGAAUCUUCCGCAAUGGACGAAAGUCUGACGGAGCAACGCCGCGUGAGUGAUGAAGGCUUUCGGGUCGUAAAACUCUGUUUU
rnacentral:rRNA from 1 species